CCUACGGGAGGCUGCAGUGGGGAAUAUUGGACAAUGGGGGGAACCCUGAUCCAGCCAUGCCGCGUGUGUGAAGAAGGCCCUCGGGUUGUAAAGCACUUUCAGUGAGGAAGAACGCCUGGUGGUUAAUACCCAUCAGGAAAGACAUCACUCACAGAAGAAGCACCGGCUAACUCCGUGCCAGCAGCCGCGGUAAUACGGAGGGUGCGAGCGUUAAUCGGAAUUACUGGGCGUAAAGCGCGCGUAGGUGGCUUGAUAAGCCGGUUGUGAAAGCCCCGGGCUCAACCUGGGAACGGCAUCCGGAACUGUCAAGCUAGAGUGCAGGAGAGAAAGGUAGAAUUCCCGGUGUAGCGGUGAAAUGCGUAGAGAUCGGGAGGAAUACCAGUGGCGAAGGCGGCCUUCUGGACUGACACUGACACUGAGGUGCGAAAGCGUGGGUAGCAAACAGGAUUAGAUACCCUUGUAGUC
rnacentral:rRNA from 1 species